GGCCUGAUGGUCUAGUAGUAUGAUUCCUUGUUAGGGCGCUUAGCGAACUACUUCGAGGAGGUCCCGGGUUCAAUUCCCGGUUAGGCCC